rnacentral:rRNA from 1 species
GGAUUAGAUACCCUGGUAGUCCACGCCGUAAACGAUGUCAACUAGCCGUUGGGGGGGUUACCCUUUAGUGGCGCAGCUAACGCGAUAAGUUGACCGCCUGGGGAGUACGGUCGCAAGAUUAAAACUCAAAGGAAUUGACGGGGGCCCGCACAAGCGGUGGAGCAUGUGGUUUAAUUCGAUGCAACGCGAAGAACCUUACCUACCCUUGACAUUGACAGAACCCUGUAGAGAUACGGGGGUGCCUUCGGGCCUGGAAAACAGGUGCUGCAUGGCUGUCGUCAGCUCGUGCCG